rnacentral:misc_RNA from 1 species
GAUGAAGAACGUAGCGAAAUGCGAUACGUAAUGUGAAUUGCAGAAUUCAGUGAAUCAUCGAAUCUUUGAACGCACCUUGCGCCCUUUGGCUAUUCCGAAGGGCAUGCCUGUUUGAGUAUCAUGAACACCUCAACUCUUCACGGCUUGCCGUGAUGAGUUUGGACUUUGGGGGUCUUGCUGGCCUACGAGCCAGCUCCUCUCAAAUGUAUUAGCUUGCCGGUGUUUGGUGGCAUCACAGGUGUGAUAACUAUCUACGCUUGUGGUUUUCCACUAGGUAACCUUCAGCAAUGGAGGUUCACCGGAGCUCACAAAUGUCUCUCCUUGCCAAGGACAGAUUUUGACCAUUUGAUCUCAAAUCAGGUAGGACUACCCGCUGAACUUAAGCAUAUCAAUAAGCGGAGGA